rnacentral:rRNA from 1 species
GACGAACGCUGAUGGCGUGCUUAACACAUGCAAGUCGAAGGGAGUGGCGAACGGGUGAGUAACACGUGAGUAACCUGCCCUUUUCUUUGGGAUAAGCCUGGGAAAAUGGGUCUAACCCUGGAUGGAUUGGAUUGGGAUCGCGUAUUAUCAGCUUGUUGGUGGGGUGAUGGCUUACCAAGGCUUUGACGGGUAGCCGGCCUGAGAGGGUGGGUGGUCACACGGGGAGUGAGAGACGGCCCAGGCUCCUACGGGAGGCAGCAGUGGGGGAUAGUGCAGAAUGGACGAAGUGCUGAUGCAGCGACGUCGUGUGGGGGAUGGAGGCCUUAGGGUUGUAAACUCCUUUCGCCCGCGGAAUGGUAGUGGGUAAAGAAGCGCCGGCUAACUACGUGCCAGCAGCCGCGGUAAUUC